GUAGGUGGCAAGCGUUGUCCGGAAUUAUUGGGCGUAAAGCGCGCGCAGGCGGUUCUUUAAGUCUGAUGUGAAAGCCCACGGCUCAACCGUGGAGGGUCAUUGGAAACUGGAGAACUUGAGUACAGAAGAGGAAAGCGGAAUUCCACGUGUAGCGGUGAAAUGCGUAGAGAUGUGGAGAAACACCAGUGGCGAAGGCGGCUUUCUGGUCUGUAACUGACGCUGAGGCGCGAAAGCGUGGGGAGCAAACAGGGAUUAGAUACCCUGGUAGUCCACGCCGUAAACGAUGAGUGCUAAGUGUUAGGGGGUUUCCGCCCCCUUAGUGCUGCAGCUAACGCAUUAAGCACUCCGCCUGGGGAGUACGGCCGCAAGGCUG
rnacentral:rRNA from 1 species